AUACAUGCUAAAAACCUCGACUUCGGAAGGGGUGUAUUUAUUAGAUAAAGAACCAAUGCCCUUCGGGGCUCCUUGGUGAUUCAUAAUAACUUAACGAAUCGCAUGGCCUUGCGCCGGCGAUGGUUCAUUCAAAUUUCUGCCCUAUCAACUUUCGAUGUUAGGGUAUUGGCCUAACAUGGUUUCUACGGGUAACGGGGAAUUAGGGUUCUAUUCCGGAGAGGGAGCCUGAGAAACGGCUACCACAUCCAAGGAAGGCAGCAGGCGCGCAAAUUACCCAAUCCCGACACGGGGAGGUAGUGACAAUAAAUACUGAUGCGGAGCUCAUUAGGGUUUCGCAAUUGGAAUGAGUACAAUCUAAACAUUUUAACGAGGAACAAUUGGAGGGCAAGUCUGGUGCCAGCAGCCGCGGUAAUUCCAGCUCCAAUAGCGUAUAUUAAAGUUGUUGCAGUUAAAAAGCUCGUAGUUGAAACUUGGGCCUGGCUGUCCGGUCCGCCUCACCGCGUGCACUGGUUCGGCCGGGCCUUUCCUUCUGGGGAGCCGCAUGCCCUUUAUUGGGUGUGCCGGGGAACCAGGACUUUUACUUUGAAAAAAUUAGAGUGUUCAAAGCAGGCCUAUGCUCGAAUACAUUAGCAUGGAAUAAUAGAAUAGGACGUGUGGUUCUAUUUUGUUGGUUUCUAGGACCGCCGUAAUGAUUAAUAGGGAUAGUCGGGGCCGUCCGUAUUUUCCAGCAAGAGGUGAAAUUCUUGGAUUUGGAAAAGACGAACUACUGCGAAAGCAUUCGGCAAGGAUGUUUUCAUUAAUCAGGGAACGAAAGUUAGGGGAUCGAAGACGAUCAGAUACCGUCGUAGUCUUAACCAUAAACUAUGCCGACUAGGGAUCGGACGGUGUUAUUAUUUUGACCCGUUCGGCACCUUACGAGAAAUCAAAGUUUUUGGGUUCUGGGGGGAGUAUGGUCGCAAGGCUGAAACUUAAAGACAUUGACGGAAGGGCACCACCAGGCGUGGAGCCUGCGGCUUAAUUUGACUCAACACGGGGAAACUCACCGGGUCCGGAUUUGAUAAGGAUUGACAGAUUGAGAGCUCUUUCUUGAUUUCAAAGUUG
rnacentral:rRNA from 1 species